CGGAGACAGGUGCUGCAUGGCUGUCGUCAGCUCGUGUCAUGAGAUGUUGGGUUAAGUCCCGCAACGAGCGCAACCCUCGCCCUUAGUUGCCAUCAUUUAGUUGGGCACUCUAAGGGGACUGCCGGUGAUAAGCCGGAGGAAGGUGGGGAUGACGUCAAGUCCUCAUGGCCCUUACAGGCUGGGCUACACACGUGCUACAAUGGCGGUGACAGAGGGACGCAAAGGAGUAAUCCUUCGCAAAUCUCAAAAAGCCGUCUCAGUUCGGAUUGUGCUCUGCAACUCGAGCACAUGAAGUUGGAAUCGCUAGUAAUCGCAGAUCAGCACGCUGCGGUGAAUACGUUCCCGGGCCUUGUACACACCGCCCGUCACACCAUGGGAGUUGGCUUUACCUGAAGGCGGUGCGCUAACCCGCAAGGGAGGCAGCCGAC
rnacentral:rRNA from 1 species